CUUUAUUUGCAUCCUCGCGACUAAUGACAAUCUUUAACUCCGCCCGGAGUAAAGUUUCUCAUUAGCCGCGCGAACCUCUGCAAGCAAAGAUCACUCUCAGCAACAAUACAUGAGUUUGGCGUGGAUUGCUGCGCAUUGCUUAAAAAAAGGGGCCAUAAAGGCCCCCUUUU
rnacentral:sRNA from 3 species